GAUGAACGCUAGCUACAGGCUUAACACAUGCAAGUCGAGGGGAAACGACAUCGAAAGCUUGCUUUUGAUGGGCGUCGACCGGCGCACGGGUGAGUAACGCAUAUCUAACCUGCCCACCACUUGGGGAUAACCUUGCGAAAGUAAGACUAAUACCCAAUGACGUCUCUAGAAGACAUCUGAAGGAGAUUAAAGAUUUAUCGGUGAUGGAUGGGGAUGCGUCUGAUUAGCUUGUUGGCGGGGUAACGGCCCACCAAGGCGACGAUCAGUAGGGGUUCUGAGAGGAAGGUCCCCCACAUUGGAACUGAGACACGGUCCAAACUCCUACGCGAGGCAGCAGUGAGGAAGAUUGGUCAAUGGGCGAGAGCCUGAACCAGCCAAGUAGCGUGCAGGAUGACGGCCCUAUGGGUUGUAAACUGCUUUUAUAAGGGAAUAAAGUGAGUCUCGUGAGACUUUUUGCAUGUACCUUAUGAAUAAGGACCGGCUAAUUCCGUGCCAGCCGCCGCGGUAA
rnacentral:rRNA from 1 species